UUGUACUCUUUGUUUUUUUUUGUUUUUUUGUUUUUUCACAUUCUUGUUUCAGCUGACACAGAAACAUGUGGGAAACAGCUCUGGCGGGUUAUUAUCUGACAGCAGACCUCUGCACAGAAAGUGUUUAAAAGAACAGCCAAGCAGGAAAAUGUAAAACAGACUCUAUCUUUAAUGAUGGAUUACAUGACAGUGCUGUGAAAGAAAAAAACAAAACACUGGUGUUUGGCCUGGAGAGGAUGUUUCUGGUUUAUAAGAGCUCGGAUUAUUUAUUUUUUCUAGGUUUGCUCAUCAUUUCUCUACGUUUCUGUCGCUGUAACUCUUUGUGAUUUACGAGGAGUGUUGCGUUUACACCGCUGGCACUGCAGUUUUGGAUAGCUCAGAUGAGUUUUUCAGGAUCCGGUGCUAAAAAAAAUGAGCUGGCAACGAAAAAUCGGACUACGGACGUCGCGGCAGAGGUGAUGAGGCCGAAGUGAGAGCUAAGAAGAGAGAAAGAGAUGAGAUAAGAGGCAAGAGCAAGUUAUAAUCACUGCUACUUCCUCCACUGAUGCUCCGCUGCGUUAUCCUCCCAUCGUCUCAUCUCCAGUCGCUCACCGGAGGUUUUUCUCCAUCUCUGCCCUCCUGACCCCUCACCUGCUCAUGCUGACUCGAGGUGUUCACUUACCCUCCUCGCUUUGCUCCCUUCUCCUUUUCUGCCAAGUACCACUGAUACGCACAAACACACACCUGCAGCCAACAAUAGAGGCCUUAUUCAGGGUGGGCACGCCGCUGAUCCAGCCGGCGCUCUAUCAACGACUGUGAUCUGGACAUGGGCGGCUGCCCUGCAAAAGACCACAGCGCUGCUGAGAGUUACUUAAAAGUACUUCAGUCGGAGCAGCACGUGAGGUUUUUCUGCUUUCAUCUGCAGCUUUAGUGUCACGGCUUCACUGCGCUUACUUCAGAGAUGGCUGAAGUAAAAAGGCUGAGCCGAGCAGUUUAUGAUAUAACCGUCUACUGUCAUUAUAUUUUGGACGCGAGAGCCAGAUUUAACCACGUCUAAAUCCUGUGUGUUCUCCCUUCCGGUGCAGCUCGGCCUCAGACAUAACACAACAUCCCCGUGGCUAUGACAUCACUGUCUAAAUAACAUGCUUGUUAGGAAUCUCCCUUGAUGUCUGAUGCUGCACAGAGGGAUGAAAGCGAGCGAAUGAAAGAGAGGGCAAAAGCCAUCAGAUGCGUCUUCAUGAGCAGCCUUUUGGCUUCAAAGGCAAAACCUCAGGCGCUGUGACAGAGAAACAACAGCCGGUGACGUCACGCGGGGCAGGGCAAGGGACAUUUACCCGGACCCCUCCGCCGCUCCGGAGCGGCUCUCCGAGCACAAAGGGAGGGGAAAAAGCGAAGAUGCAGAAGAGGGUUGAGGUUUAAUGAGGGAGAAGAGGGAAAAACAGAGAGCACGAGGGUUCAAGGGGGUCGCUGUGUGCACACAUCAGGGCGGCAGGCGAGAUCAGUGCGGCGGGGAACGCUCCCGUGUUUGGGAGAGGAGGGAAAGAUAAAUAAGCCAGGACGGCUGCACAAAGAGAGGCGAGGAGGAAACGGGAAUGUUGAGAUUCCAAAAGGGAAAAUCUGUCUCUCUCUCACAAACACACACACACACACAUACACACACACACACACACACACAAGUUCAGAUGGAGUGAAGUGGUAAACAGACGUGUGUGUGUGUGUGUGUGUGUGUGUGUGUGUCUUGUAACCAUGGAACACGAGUUUUAGAAGUUUGUUAUGUAUUUGUUUUCAAAAUGACAAGCUUUCACAACAACUCUUCCACUGCUGCGUGCCAGUAGAGAGCGUAUGUUUUACAUCAUGACUCCGCUGCCUCCGAGUCAGAAAAAUUCAGCUCACAGCAAAUGAUCCGGCCUUGACUGUAUGUCUCCAUUUUGUUGCCUUCUAGGUGAUAGUUUCUGAUCUAAAUCCACUUGUUUCUGCCGUCAUUGUGUCCUUGUGUUUCCAACAAUUCCUUGUAACAUGCCCUGAGAUUGGGACGUUGAUUUUGUAAUACUUGCUAAAGUCCUACCAAAUAUCACUCCUAGAUAUUUUAUUUGUUGCUUUGAUGAAAACAUCCUAAUUUGGUGUUUUCUAAAACUAAAUGGACCCGGGAAACUUAAAUCACUAUUACACUAUUUUCAUGUGAAACAAUCAGAGAAACUAUCCUAAACUUGAGAUUUAUUUAUCAGCUUUUCACGGGAGUUUGUAUGCCAAAGCCACCAGGAAAUCACAGUACUGAUAAAAUGCACCAAUCAAACACAGGAUAAGAAAAGGCCUGUAAACAAGGUUAGAACUCAAAGCACCUGCGUACGACUGGCCAAUCACAGUGUGAGGUGAGGGUGAAUGUUGGAUUAUCAUUUGUCUGGAAAAGUCACAGAAACUGUUGGGCGAUUCAGGAGGUGAAGAGUGUGGGGGUGGAGUCAGGGGCGAGGAGACAACAUAGCUGAGACAUAGUUUUGUAAUGAAGAAUAGCACCAGAAUACCUGUGUGACUUCUAUUGAUCCAUCUUUCAAUAUUUGUCAGUAUGAAAUCGCCGGCUAUUUUUUGGGGGGUCCACAGUGUUGUAACAUUUGUCAGCCACCUCAAGCCCUGUUUGUCGUUACCACAACAGGUAUUUUAAGCCCAAACAGGAUCUUUUCCUAACCCUAACCAAGUGUUUUUUAUUUGUGCUUAAACCUAACCAGAUCAUAAACACAACACAAAAUAAAAACAAUUGUUCUAAAGAGACAUAAAGUGGCAACAUCAAGAAAAUGCAAAGCUUUGACAUUGUUUCAUCAGUUCCAGUGACCAGUCAUGAGUCGUCCUGCCCGUCAUCCAUAUUUUCAGUUUUCUUUAUGAUCCAAUAUCUUCCCUCUGUGCACAAACACCCAACAUCCAUCCACGCGUGACUCAAAACUGAACAUUACUCUCUAUCGUCUAAACCACCAAAAGUGUAAACCUGCACCUGCAGACUGCCCCCUUUUCCCUUUUCAGCUGGGAGCCAGGGAGUAAAGGGAGGAUAUUGGCACCGCACAAUGGCCGUAAAAAUCCAAAGCAUCCCAAACAAACUUCAUCACUCCCCUGCUGGCCUGUCCUCCCCUCUGAUCUCUCUCCGCUUUCAUCCUCCUCUGGUAAGGCCCCCUCUUCCUCUCGCUCUCCGUUGUCCCCAUUCUUGCUCCUUUUCGUCUCUAGGCAACACGGCAAUGGAGGUCUGAGCGCAGGGAGCGAGCGAGAGACAGACAGAGAGAUAGUGAGCUGCUCUUGAAACUUCGGAGACAGCUAUGCCAGGAAUGCAGGUGCCUGCUGUGAGUACAACAAAGUGAGGAGGACCUCCGUAGGAGCGCAGCGUGGGCAAGCAGCACGUCGGUGCGAGGGAGCCCGGCCCACAUUUCAGCCCCGCUCGCCUGCUUCUCAUGCACAGCAGGCUGCUGCAAGUUGGGUUUCAAAAAGGUGUGUUUGUCACCGCGCGAGGCUCCUCAAGACACCGUGUGACGGCAGGAAAUUCUUUCUGUGUCUCUGCCGUCGACAUGUCUCUCUUCUCCCUCGCUCCCUUCUAGUCUGUGUUUUAUUCAGCCGAAACAGAGAAGCCACAUCACAGGGAGACCAGAGGAGUAUGAGAAGAGAAGAGAAGAAGAGAAGAGAAGAGAAGUUUCAAACAAAGUGUAGGAGAGAGCUUGAGAGAGUGUGUGAUGUGGCUGAGUAAAAGGACACAGAUGACAGAGAAUACUUGAAAAAAAGAACAUUAUUUAGUGGUGUUGUGUGUGUGUGUGUGUGUGUGUGUGUGUGUGUGUGUGUGUGUGUUUGUGUGUGCGCGCCCAUCGAUCUGUAUCUCUGAAGUGCAUGAAAGGCGUAUUGACCUGUGUGUGUUUUCUUGUGUGUCGUAUAUGUGAAACAUGGCCAUAUACAGAUACGUGCAUGAAAGCGUUUCUCUUUCUGUAUGUGUCAGAGCACUGCACAAAUGUGUGUAGUUGUGUGUGUGUGGGGGGGGGGGGCAGCUGCCCAUAUGUUUGAUGGAGUCCUGGGGCCCUGUGGCCCUCGCAGCCAGCGACUGAUGUGAUUUAGUGGUGCAGGUCAAAGGUCAAGAGCCCCUACUCUCCAUCUGCGCCUGAAGAAAAGGCCAUCGGGAAGGGAUUAGACUGGAGUCAAUGGUCCUGGUGACAUGUCUGCCACCAGUUCACUUCACACGCAAACACAGUCAAAAGAACAUCAGUGUUUAGACUGUUGGUAUACAUCUCAUUCAUCCAAAAUGCAGACCUAAUUAACCUGUUAGGCCACAGACUAAAGACAAUGAUAGCUUGCAUUUACCCAAAAGUUGCAUUUAGCCUUAAAGUCGAAAUGAGAUGUCACUGCUGGGAAGAUUAAAGGCCCAAAAAUGCAGUGGGUCCACCAGACCCACGUACACUGGCUGAGUAACCAAAAUAUGAACACCACACAAGGGUUAAGUGAAUCAAAGACACA